rnacentral:rRNA from 1 species
CGGGUGGUAAUGCCGGAUGCUCCAGUUGAUCGCAUGGUCUUCUGGGAAAGCUUUCGCGGUAUGGGAUGGGGUCGCGUCCUAUCAGCUUGACGGCGGGGUAACGGCCCACCGUGGCUUCGACGGGUAGCCGGCCUGAGAGGGCGACCGGCCACAUUGGGACUGAGAUACGGCCCAGACUCCUACGGGAGGCAGCAGUGGGGAAUAUUGCACAAUGGGCGCAAGCCUGAUGCAGCGACGCCGCGUGAGGGAUGGAGGCCUUCGGGUUGUAAACCUCUUUUAUCGGGGAGCAAGCGAGAGUGAGUUUACCCGUUGAAUAAGCACCGGCUAACUACGUGCCAGCAGCCGCGGUAAUACGUAGGGUGCAAGCGUUAUCCGGAAUUAUUGGGCGUAAAGGGCUCGUAGGCGGUUCGUCGCGUCCGGUGUGAAAGUCCAUCGCUUAACGGUGGAUCCGCGCCGGGUACGGGCGGGCUUGAGUGCGGUAGGGGAGACUGGAAUUCCCGGUGUAACGGUGGAAUGUGUA